UACGGAGGGUGCAAGCGUUAUCCGGAUUCACUGGGUUUAAAGGGUGCGUAGGUGGGUUGGUAAGUCAGUGGUGAAAUCCCCGAGCUUAACUUGGGAACUGCCAUUGAUACUAUCAGUCUUGAAUACCGUGGAGGUUAGCGGAAUAUGUCAUGUAGCGGUGAAAUGCUUAGAUAUGACAUAGAACACCAAUUGCGAAGGCAGCUGGCUACACGAAUAUUGACACUGAGGCACGAAAGCGUGGGGAUCAAACAGGA
rnacentral:rRNA from 1 species